CCACCUCAUAUGAUGAUUACGCCACAUCCUGUUUUAUUUCCUGCCUUAUCUCUUAACUUAUGUGCUGUUUGGGUUUGUGAGUCCUGUCAAAGACCAAAGCAACUAUAAAUGGCAGGGGAAUAACACACAAUUCAGCUAAUACAAGCUGGCGGGCUAUCCAUUUCAUCUAGGGGCUCAUCAUCAACAAGGUGAUCAGUAUCGUGUGAUUCAGAGCUGUCACCUCCAGUAACAUGAGCCGAGCCAGGCAGCAUCUGUAACCAGACUGAAAUGAUACGUGCUACCAUGAAGCAGAAGAAAACAUUCUAGUGCAAUAGUAGCUGAAGUAAAAGGAUAAGAAAUCAGAAAUGCAACAUUACCAGUUAGAAGCAAAUCACACGUUUUACUUAAAAUUGACCGAAUGGGAUGAAAACAUAAAAAUUUUUAAAAAGAGAGUGACUUGUUCUUAUGCUGGCAAACAGAAAAUAAUGCGAGAAAAAUAUAAAUGAAACUGUUAAAGUGCUGAUACAAAAAUGUGAAAGGUAUGUAUACAAACUAGCAAAGAAAAACAGUAACAUGUAAAAAAAGUGCUAGGGAAUACAUCGCAGUGAUUGAAUGUGAGGACCUACCCAAUCCACACCAGUUACAGCAAUUUUGUCUACAAUGUGCAACAUAUAAUUAUGGCUGUGUAUUGUUUUGUAAGCUGUAUUAUGUAUAUGUCAGAGUAAGAAAGAAGAUCACCAUUUUUAAUUGUCAAA